rnacentral:rRNA from 1 species
UACGUAGGGUCCGAGCGUUGUCCGGAAUUACUGGGCGUAAAGAGCUCGUAGGUGGUUUGUCGCGUUGUUCGUGAAAACUCACAGCUCAACUGUGGGCGUGCGGGCGAUACGGGCAGACUAGAGUACUGCAGGGGAGACUGGAAUUCCUGGUGUAGCGGUGGAAUGCGCAGAUAUCGGGAGGAACACCGGUGGCGAAGGCGGUUCUCUGGGCCUGUACUGACGCUGAGGAGCGAAAGCGUGGGGGAGCGAACAGG